rfam:Apaloderma vittatum contig34479, whole genome shotgun sequence.
GGCUAGUUAGCUCAGUCGGUUGGAGCAUGGUGCUGAUAACACCAAGGUCGUGGGUUCGAUCCCCGUUCGGUCCC